GCUGAGUUUGAUCCUGGCUCAGGACGAACGCUGGCGGCGUGCUUAACACAUGCAAGUCGAACGCUGAAGCUUGGUGCUUGCACUGGGUGGAUGAGUGGCGAACGGGUGAGUAAUACGUGAGUAACCUGCCCUUGACUCUGGGAUAAGCCUGGGAAACUGGGUCUAAUACUGGAUAUGACCUCCUGUCGCAUGGUGGGGGGUGGAAAGGGUUUGUACUGGUUGUGGAUGGGCUCACGGCCUAUCAGCUUGUUGGUGGGGUAAUGGCCUACCAAGGCGACGACGGGUAGCCGGCCUGAGAGGGUGACCGGCCACACUGGGACUGAGACACGGCCCAGACUCCUACGGGAGGCAGCAGUGGGGAAUAUUGCACAAUGGGCGCAAGCCUGAUGCAGCGACGCCGCGUGAGGGAUGACGGCCUUCGGGUUGUAAACCUCUUUCAGCACGGAAGAUGCUAAAGUGACGGUACGUGCAGAAGAAGCGCCGGCUAACUACGUGCCAGCAGCCGCGGUAAUACGUAGGGCGCAAGCGUUGUCCGGAAUUAUUGGGCGUAAAGAGCUCGUAGGCGGUUUGUCGCGUCUGCUGUGAAAGCCCGGGGCUUAACCCCGGGUGUGCAGUGGGUACGGGCAGACUUGAGUGCAGUAGGGGAGACUGGAACUCCUGGUGUAGCGGUGAAAUGCGCAGAUAUCAGGAAGAACACCGAUGGCGAAGGCAGGUCUCUGGGCUGUUACUGACGCUGAGGAGCGAAAGCAUGGGGAGCGAACAGGAUUAGAUACCCUGGUAGUCCAUGCCGUAAACGUUGGGCACUAGGUGUGGGGGACAUUCCACGUUUUCCGCGCCGUAGCUAACGCAUUAAGUGCCCCGCCUGGGGAGUACGGCCGCAAGGCUAAAACUCAAAGGAAUUGACGGGGGCCCGCACAAGCGGCGGAGCAUGCGGAUUAAUUCGAUGCAACGCGAAGAACCUUACCAAGGCUUGACAUACACCGGAUCGGCUCAGAGAUGGGUUUUCCUCCUUGUGGGGCUGGUGUACAGGUGGUGCAUGGUUGUCGUCAGCUCGUGUCGUGAGAUGUUGGGUUAAGUCCCGCAACGAGCGCAACCCUCGUUCUAUGUUGCCAGCACGUGAUGGUGGGGACUCAUAGGAGACUGCCGGGGUCAACUCGGAGGAAGGUGGGGAUGACGUCAAAUCAUCAUGCC
rnacentral:rRNA from 1 species